UACAGGGGAUGCAAGUGUUAUCCGGAAUUAUUGGGCGUAAAGCGUCUGCAGGUGGAGAAUUAAGUCUUUUGUUAAAUCUUCGGGCUUAACCCGAAAUCAGCAAAAGAAACUAUUUUUCUUGAGUAUGGUAGAGGUAGAGGGAAUUUCCAGUGGAGCGGUGAAAUGCGUAGAUAUUGGAAAGAACACCAAGAGCGAAGGCACUCUACUGGGCCAUUACUGACACUCAGAGACGAAAGCUAGGGGAGCAAACGGG
rnacentral:rRNA from 1 species